AGCGUACACGGUGGAUGCCCUGGCAGUCAGAGGCGAUGAAGGACGUGCUAAUCUGCGAUAAGCGUCGGUAAGGUGAUAUGAACCGUUAUAACCGGCGAUUUCCGAAUGGGGAAACCCAGUGUGUUUCGACACACUAUCAUUAACUGAAUCCAUAGGUUAAUGAGGCGAACCGGGGGAACUGAAACAUCUAAGUACCCCGAGGAAAAGAAAUCAACCGAGAUUCCCCCAGUAGCGGCGAGCGAACGGGGAGCAGCCCAGAGCCUGAAUCAGUGUGUGUGUUAGUGGAAGCGUCUGGAAAGGCGUGCGAUACAGGGUGACAGCCCCGUACACAAAAAUGCACAUGCUGUGAGCUCGAUGAGUAGGGCGGGACACGUGGUAUCCUGUCUGAAUAUGGGGGGACCAUCCUCCAAGGCUAAAUACUCCUGACUGACCGAUAGUGAACCAGUACCGUGAGGGAAAGGCGAAAAGAACCCCGGCGAGGGGAGUGAAAAAGAACCUGAAACCGUGUACGUACAAGCAGUGGGAGCACGCUUAGGCGUGUGACUGCGUACCUUUUGUAUAAUGGGUCAGCGACUUAUAUUCUGUAGCAAGGUUAACCGAAUAGGGGAGCCGAAGGGAAACCGAGUCUUAACUGGGCGUUAAGUUGCAGGGUAUAGACCCGAAACCCGGUGAUCUAGCCAUGGGCAGGUUGAAGGUUGGGUAACACUAACUGGAGGACCGAACCGACUAAUGUUGAAAAAUUAGCGGAUGACUUGUGGCUGGGGGUGAAAGGCCAAUCAAACCGGGAGAUAGCUGGUUCUCCCCGAAAGCUAUUUAGGUAGCGCCUCGUGAAUUCAUCUCCGGGGGUAGAGCACUGUUUCGGCAAGGGGGUCAUCCCGACUUACCAACCCGAUGCAAACUGCGAAUACCGGAGAAUGUUAUCACGGGAGACACACGGCGGGUGCUAACGUCCGUCGUGAAGAGGGAAACAACCCAGACCGCCAGCUAAGGUCCCAAAGUCAUGGUUAAGUGGGAAACGAUGUGGGAAGGCCCAGACAGCCAGGAUGUUGGCUUAGAAGCAGCCAUCAUUUAAAGAAAGCGUAAUAGCUCACUGGUCGAGUCGGCCUGCGCGGAAGAUGUAACGGGGCUAAACCAUGCACCGAAGCUGCGGCAGCGACGCUUAUGCGUUGUUGGGUAGGGGAGCGUUCUGUAAGCCUGUGAAGGUGUACUGUGAGGUAUGCUGGAGGUAUCAGAAGUGCGAAUGCUGACAUAAGUAACGAUAAAGCGGGUGAAAAGCCCGCUCGCCGGAAGACCAAGGGUUCCUGUCCAACGUUAAUCGGGGCAGGGUGAGUCGACCCCUAAGGCGAGGCCGAAAGGCGUAGUCGAUGGGAAACAGGUUAAUAUUCCUGUACUUGGUGUUACUGCGAAGGGGGGACGGAGAAGGCUAUGUUGGCCGGGCGACGGUUGUCCCGGUUUAAGCGUGUAGGCUGGUUUUCCAGGCAAAUCCGGAAAAUCAAGGCUGAGGCGUGAUGACGAGGCACUACGGUGCUGAAGCAACAAAUGCCCUGCUUCCAGGAAAAGCCUCUAAGCAUCAGGUAACAUCAAAUCGUACCCCAAACCGACACAGGUGGUCAGGUAGAGAAUACCAAGGCGCUUGAGAGAACUCGGGUGAAGGAACUAGGCAAAAUGGUGCCGUAACUUCGGGAGAAGGCACGCUGAUAUGUAGGUGAAGUCCCUCGCGGAUGGAGCUGAAAUCAGUCGAAGAUACCAGCUGGCUGCAACUGUUUAUUAAAAACACAGCACUGUGCAAACACGAAAGUGGACGUAUACGGUGUGACGCCUGCCCGGUGCCGGAAGGUUAAUUGAUGGGGUUAGCCGCAAGGCGAAGCUCUUGAUCGAAGCCCCGGUAAACGGCGGCCGUAACUAUAACGGUCCUAAGGUAGCGAAAUUCCUUGUCGGGUAAGUUCCGACCUGCACGAAUGGCGUAAUGAUGGCCAGGCUGUCUCCACCCGAGACUCAGUGAAAUUGAACUCGCUGUGAAGAUGCAGUGUACCCGCGGCAAGACGGAAAGACCCCGUGAACCUUUACUAUAGCUUGACACUGAACAUUGAGCCUUGAUGUGUAGGAUAGGUGGGAGGCUUUGAAGUGUGGACGCCAGUCUGCAUGGAGCCGACCUUGAAAUACCACCCUUUAAUGUUUGAUGUUCUAACGUUGACCCGUAAUCCGGGUUGCGGACAGUGUCUGGUGGGUAGUUUGACUGGGGCGGUCUCCUCCUAAAGAGUAACGGAGGAGCACGAAGGUUGGCUAAUCCUGGUCGGACAUCAGGAGGUUAGUGCAAUGGCAUAAGCCAGCUUGACUGCGAGCGUGACGGCGCGAGCAGGUGCGAAAGCAGGUCAUAGUGAUCCGGUGGUUCUGAAUGGAAGGGCCAUCGCUCAACGGAUAAAAGGUACUCCGGGGAUAACAGGCUGAUACCGCCCAAGAGUUCAUAUCGACGGCGGUGUUUGGCACCUCGAUGUCGGCUCAUCACAUCCUGGGGCUGAAGUAGGUCCCAAGGGUAUGGCUGUUCGCCAUUUAAAGUGGUACGCGAGCUGGGUUUAGAACGUCGUGAGACAGUUCGGUCCCUAUCUGCCGUGGGCGCUGGAGAACUGAGGGGGGCUGCUCCUAGUACGAGAGGACCGGAGUGGACGCAUCACUGGUGUUCGGGUUGUCAUGCCAAUGGCACUGCCCGGUAGCUAAAUGCGGAAGAGAUAAGUGCUGAAAGCAUCUAAGCACGAAACUUGCCCCGAGAUGAGUUCUCCCUGACUCCUUGA
rnacentral:rRNA from 1 species